GCCCUUGUCUCCCCAAGAUGACUCUUCCUCACUACCCGAAGCCCCGAAACCAGCAUUCCCAGCGGCAGGAAGAUGGAUGAGCUGGCCUCCACUUCCGGCUCUCCUCCCCCGCGCCGGCUGGAACUUGCGUCAGUCGUGGCUGCUCGGUUGCGGUGGGAAGACCUGGAGGCUUCAGCACGCUGGGGCUUUCCCAGGCCGCCUUCCUCCAGAUCCAGGAGGCCUCCGGGCUGGGUGCCAGGGAGAGCGUGCCGCUUCCAGCCACCUUGGAUCACCUGGCUGGGUGCAACUUGGGGACAGAACCAGCGGCUGGGUUCAGGUAAGCGAGUCGCUCCCUGCCCGACUGACUUGGAGAAAGAAGCUUGGUUCUGUCGGGAGGUCUGAGACUUCAACAGACCCUUUUAUCUGGUGGGCUUGGGAGCGCAAAAGCUUUGGACCCUAA
rnacentral:lncRNA from 1 species